UACGUAGGGUGCAAGCGUUAAUCGGAAUUACUGGGCGUAAAGCGUGCGCAGGCGGUUGUGUAAGUCAGAUGUGAAAUCCCCGGGCUCAACCUGGGAACUGCAUUUGUGACUGCACAGCUGGAGUGCGGCAGAGGGGGAUGGAAUUCCGCGUGUAGCAGUGAAAUGCGUAGAUAUGCGGAGGAACACCGAUGGCGAAGGCAAUCCCCUGGGCCUGCACUGACGCUCAUGCACGAAAGCGUGAGGAGCAAACAGG
rnacentral:rRNA from 1 species